UACAAAUGCUGAAAUAAUUGUCAAUCGAAAUAAAAGGUAACAGCGAGUAACGGCGCUGGGUCAAGAGUUUAUACUCAAGACGAAAAUCCGUCCAGAUAACUUGAGGAAAUGCCAGUUAUGUAACGGGAAAGUGGAAAUUGUUGGACA